ensembl:lncRNA
GGGAUUUUCAUCUUCCUCUUGCCACAUGGGUCACAGAUCACUUGCUGGUUUGAACUAGAAUAAAUGAUGUAAAGACUUCAGUUUACAGAGAAUCCAAGCUUUGAGGACUUCAGUAACUCAGCCAGAAGUUAUGGGCCUAUUCCACAUGUGAGUGAGUGAGGUUCUGUGGCCUAAAAUGUGCAAGAGGUCAAACUAGAUGAGCAUAAUGGUCACUUCUGGCCUUAAAGCCUGUGCAUAUUAUCUUCAUUUUACAGAUGGGAGAACUGAAGCGCUAAGUCCUAGAUCCUCAAGGUUAUUUAGGAGUCUGAGAGCUUAAGUGACUUAGCCAAUGCUUUGGAAGAGCAGUGAAUCAGCAAGUUCUCCAUUCUCAGCCCGGUGUUAAUACCAAUAGGUCACGUCUUUUUCUCUCAAUUAUUUAUCGGUUCUCAUCAGUACCUGUUCAGGAGGCUGUUUCAUUUAUUUGUCAAAUUGUAUUUGGAAUAUUUUUAGCACUUAAAAUCAUAAAAUGCCCUACAAUCCUUCCUUUAAAAAGCUAUAUGAUCUGAUUUGGUUGAUGCCUGCCACAAUGAAGAAAAGCGUUUUCUUGCUUCUCCUUGUGAAGCACUUUGAGAUCUACUGAUGACAAAUGCUAUUUAGGAGUUAGUUAUUAUUUUGUUUGAUCUUUCAGGUAUCUUCAGUCAAAAAAAAUCAAGCUCCUGGCUCACUUUAUAAGGGUAAGAGCUUAUCUUCAGGCUUCUAACCAGAUUUCCAUUUGGGUGAUAUUACAUAUUCUUUGCAUACAGUAUUCUUCUCAUCCUGGCCUAUCUGAUUAUGUAAUGCUACUAACCAGUCACCCCCUUCUGCCUUGCAGAUGGCAGUGCCUCAUGGCUGGGCAAAGAAAUUUGCUGGUGCAAUUGAUAACCUACGCAACGAACUUUGAAAUUCAGCAGGUUCCUUCCAAACUUCCCAGGCUCCAUGACAUCUUGCUUUCCCAGGUACGUUUGCUUAUUUUUUCAGUAAUUAGCAUGAAGCCAUGCUGUGCAGUGAAAUUUCAGCUUCUGCUAAAGUAUGGUUAUAUCUAUUUCUAUAUUCUCUGGGCCUAAUUCUGAUCUCAUUCACAAAGGUAUGAAUAAGGAACUAACACCAUAGAUGUCCAUGAUGUCACACCAACGUAAAAGUGGUUUAUGAAAGAUUGGGCCCAGCACAGUGGUAUUGUGGUGAAAUGUAAUGGUCUGUGAUACACAGCCAGUCAGAAUAGCUAUUCUAAUGGUGCCUUCUGGAUUAAAACCUCUAUGGCUGUGUCUAUAUUGCAGUGCAGCCCAACUCAGACUCAAAAAAAUAGUAAUUGGAGAUAUACUUAUCUCCUAGACCUGGAAGGAAUCUUGAAAAGUCAUGGAGUCCAGCCCCCUGCCUUCACUAGCAGGACCAAAUACUGACUUUUGCCCCAGAUCCCUAAGUGGCCUCCUCAAGAAUUGAACUCACAGUGCUGGUUUUAGGAGGUUAAUGCUCAAACCCCUUCAAGCCUAAACCCCCUUCUGUCUACAAACAAAUCUUGCUCAACUGGAACUUGGACCAAAAGUCCCAGGACCUCCUAGGUGGAGGGUCUGAGCCUCAGACAAGUCAGCCCUUUUGCUCUGCAGUGUAGAUGCAACCCCACUGGACUCAUGCUCUGGGAAUCUGCCAAAAGUAUCCCACAAUCCCAUGGACCAAUUUUCUUUGUCCCCCAUAUAGUCAAGUUCGGUGAACAAUCAAGUUUUCCCACACUGCACUUCAAACAAAGGAUUUAGGGCAGUCAUAUUUUGGGAUGGUGCUGUAAGGCAUAUGGGUGGCUGGACUCGGGCCCUCAGAAUGCAGUGUAGACACUGGAGCCCCAGGGUUGAACAAUUACUAACCUGGAAUUACGAACAAGUAUAACAGAUGUUCAAGCCUAGCUUAAACUCGGGAUCUGCUAACAUGAGUUCUACUAACCCUGGACUUACAUUGCAGUGUAGACAUACCCUGUCAAACUAUGAGAUCAGAAUCAGACCUUCAGCAUCUAGUUCUUUCAGACCUAUGCUGUAUUGUUCCAAGAUCAAGUUAAAACUAACUUGGGGCUGGGAUUGUCACUUGCUGUGUGUUGGGUACAAUGUCCAGCCCAAUGGGGUCUUGAACCUGAUUGGGAUCACUACAUGAGACAACAAUACAAAUAAUGAUAAUAAUCUUUAUUAUUAGCUGCCUCCCUAAUGGAGAAUAUUCUGACCCUUAUACUUUCUUGCAGACCUGGGUGAACUAUUUGGAGUGGCCAGUUAAUUUUAAAAUAAUCAACCAAUAAAUAAAGGCCUCAUCUUCUGAUCACAAAUAGUGAAAAACAUUUGAACUUCAUUCAUUUCUCAAGUCUAUCCAGUGAACGGUUUAUGUGAACAAAUUAUUAACCAACACUAAUAUUAGUAUAUGCAAAUUUUAUGAAGUAUUAAUAUUAUUAUAUGCAAAUCUCAUGAAUU